ACGGAGGGUGCAAGCGUUAAUCGGAAUUACUGGGCGUAAAGCGCACGUAGGCUGCUUUGUAAGUCAGGGGUGAAAUCCCACGGCUCAACCGUGGAACUGCCUUUGAUACUGCUUAGCUUGAAUCCGGGAGAGGGUGGCGGAAUUCCAGGUGUAGGAGUGAAAUCCGUAGAUAUCUGGAGGAACAUCAGUGGCGAAGGCGGCCACCUGGACCGGUAUUGACGCUGAGGUGCGAAAGCGUGGGGAGCAAACAG
rnacentral:rRNA from 1 species